rnacentral:rRNA from 1 species
AGAGGUCCGCUGCCCGUGAUUUAAUUUAACGGCCGCGGUAUCUUGACCGUGCAAAGGUAGCACAAUCAAUUGUUCUUUAAAUAAGGACUAGUAUGAACGGCACCACGAGGGUUUAACUGUCUCCCCACUUUAAUCAAUGAAAUUGAUCCUCCCGUGAAGAAGCGGGAAAUAUUUAUAUAAGACGAAAAGACCCCAUGGAGCUUUAAACUUAUCAUCACUUACCAAAACCUCAACACACAUUUGGCAAACAUGACACUGAUAGUUUUCGGUUGGGGGCGACCCCGGAG